GAUGCAGCCUGUGACCCUCAGGGCUACAUUCAAGUUUGAGAAGGCAGCCAGAGGAGAGCAACAAGAAUUAGUUGAGAGGCCUGAGGAGUGAGGUCGAAGAGGCUACCUCUGCAGAAGGCGCUGGGGAGGAACCAGAUUGAUGGGCAGCCCUGGUGGUGGUGACAGCACUGGCAGGAGCCAGCUGUCCAGCAGGAGCCCCACCUGCCUCACUGCUGGGGCAAAGGGAAGCACUGACCCAUCCUGACAGCCACGCAGACUGAUGGACCAGCGCAUGGAAGAAAACCAAGGCGGACUCACAGAAUUAGUUUGAAAAAACCUGGGGGACCUGUAGUUCUCACAAAUUGAGUGAGGAAAGAACCUGAAAAUAUGUUUUAUUAUUGUCAUCGAGACCCCAGUUUCAACCCUAGACUAUUGUGGCCUGGGGAGAAAGUUUUCAAUUGAUUGUCCUCCCUGGAGCUUUUACGGUUGUGAAAGAAA
rnacentral:lncRNA from 1 species